GAAUAUAACUAACUUCCUUCCUUCCUUCCUUUCUUCCUUCCUUCCAUCCUUCCUCCCUCCCUCCCUCCCUGCUUUCCCUUCCUCCCUGCCUUCCUUCUUCCUUCCUCUCUUUUUUCUUUUCUCCCUUCCUUCCUUCUUAAUAUGUUUUUGGCCUUUUCUUUAUAUAUGUGGCCUAUCAAUAUCAUGUGUUUGGAAAAGCAUAAACUUAAGGCAUCACCUUUACAGAAAAUAUCUUCCAUGGAAACAUCUAAAGGCAAAAAUCCUUCAAAUUCAAAUUUAUCCAAUCAUUUCUUCUGCUUACUACCAUCCUAAAUCAUUUUUCUUUAGUAAGAUCUAUUAGUGUGAAGCUAUUAAGCUAUUAAUGUAAGUAUCAUAUUAAUGUAUUAAGAUAUUAAGUGAGGAAGUAAAGUUGCAUUCAUAGGCCUUGAACUUUUCCACAUCUCGAUUUUUACCCAUCAUCUCUGCAUAUUUUCCUAAGGCAGCCUUCAAAUGGUGAUGUUUCCUGUCAUCCAGAGUUCAGAAGUGCCUUCUCUUCAACCUUUCUGUGGAAUUCUAAACCACGUGAUAAAGGAGCUGGUGGUGGGAAGUAAGGGAAGGAGGGGAUGAAGAGGAAUGGGCAGAAGUUUUUGGAGAGGAAUAACCCACUGAGAUUGCCAGGGAAGAUUCAUUUUGACAUUAUUUUCAUGUAUUCAAUGCAAUCAAAAAAGAAUCCACAGCUAACCAUGCCACAGAUCAGCCCUGGGGUUCAGAGGGAUCCUGACGGCUACUCCUCAAGAUCCUCUCUGUUGUGAUUCAUCCCCCCCAGGCCCUACAGUUUCUCCUUCCUGACUCUUACAUUUCUUUGGAUGGCAUCACUAUUUACCUGUCUCCUCCCAUAGUUAGUUGCCAAGCACUGUGGAUUCUACCCCUCAGGGUCCAGACACCCAUU
rnacentral:antisense_RNA from 1 species